GUAGUAUUGGCAGAGUUGGUAUUGCACCUGAUUGCUAAUCAGAGGUCAUCGUUUAUUCGGUGCAUAGGUUCAAGUCCUAUAUACUAUGCUCA
rnacentral:tRNA from 1 species